UACAGAGGUCUCAAGCGUUGUUCGGAUUCAUUGGGCGUAAAGGGUGCGUAGGCGGUUCGUCGCGUCGGCUGUGAAAUCCCGAGGCUCAACCUCGGGUCUGCAGUCGAUACGGGCGGACUGGAGUUCGGCAGGGGAGACUGGAAUUCCUGGUGUAGCGGUGAAAUGCGCAGAUAUCAGGAGGAACACCGGUGGCGAAGGCGGGUCUCUGGGCCACUACUGACGCUGAGAAGCGAAAGCAUGGGGAGCGAACAGG
rnacentral:rRNA from 1 species